UCAUUUGAAACAACGUCGAGAAAUUUAUAUAAAUAUUAUAAGUUGAUCAGCUACUAUAUUUUUGAACACAACUGUAUAUACAAACACAGCAUGCUUUCAAAAUUUUAGAAAGUUACAUUUCAUAAACAUUACUUGAAUAUUGUGAGAAUUCAGUAAUUGUUAAAAUAUACGAUAUUGAAAUGUGGUUGGACUUUGACCAGAAAGAUAAGAAUUAGUAAAAUAAGUAAAUCUUUAAAAAGUGACAAAAACAAAAAAAAAGUUCCCUUUGAUCUUUGAAUUUCUUAAGGAAAACAAAUAAUUAUUAAAGACUUUUGGUAUGACGUUUCCAGGCAAAACCUAAUUAAUUAUUAAUUUAAAUAUUUGCCUGGAACCCUCGUUAAAGGUGUUUACGUACAUAUGUAUAUGUAAUGGCAGCUGCUAAUUUUAAUGGCUGAUUGACUAAGCAGCUAAAGAAGAGCGAGAGAAUAUUUACUUACAAUUGGAACACAUUUCCAUGGGCAGCGAUGUUUCAUUUCCCUAUAAAGAAGAAAAGGAAAGGCAAAAAGAUGUGUAAAAUAUAAAAUUGAAAAUUCCAUAUUUAGAGGGUGAGAGAUAGAUAUAAAUAAAUAAUGAUAAUUAUUAGCAAACUUUUGCAUGAUUUUCGAAAUAGGCGCAAAACAGUGGGACAAGGAAUUCUCCUUCUAUCCUUCUAUUGCUUCAAAUAUUUUCAUUUAUCCAUCUUUAACCCCCACUCCCACGUUCUUCCUUUUGGCAUUCGUUUUUAUUACCAUUUUGAUGUUGCCUUUUCUGGGACGUCUUCGGGCUGUCUCUUUCCCUCUCUCUCUCUAACACACACACACAAACACACGUUCUCUCGCCUUGGAUGCUAUGUAUAGUAUGCGUUAACUAGAAUUCAGCGGAUUUGACUUGUGCACUUCUGUGUUGGCUUUGCUUCUUUGUGUUGCCCGUUAUUCUUUACAAUUUAUAAUAAUUUAACAUUAAAAUGUUCUAAGCAAAAAUGUUUACUAUUGCUACUCUGAAAUUGCAAAA